AACGUAGGUGGCGAGCGUUAUCCGGAAUUACUGGGCGUAAAGCGUGUGCAGGCGGGCUGACAAGUGGGGUAUGAAAUAUCCCGGCUUAACCGGGAGGGGUUAUGCCAGACUGUCAGUCUUGAGUGCAGGAGAGGAACGCGGAAUUCCAGGUGUAGCGGUGAAAUGCGUAGAUAUCUGGAGGAACACCGGUGGCGAAGGCGGCGUUCUGGACUGCAACUGACACUGAGGAACGAAAGCCAGGGGAGCAAACGGG
rnacentral:rRNA from 1 species